UCCAGACUCCUACGGGAGGCAGCAGUGGGGAAUAUUGCACAAUGGGGGGAACCCUGAUGCAGCGACGCCGCGUGGGUGAAGGAGUACUUCGGUACGUAAAGCCCUAUCAGCAGGAAAGAAAAUGACGGUACCUGACUAAGAAGCCCCGGCUAACUACGUGCCAGCAGCCGCGGUAAUACGUAGGGGGCAAGCGUUAUCCGGAUUUACUGGGUGUAAAGGGAGCGUAGACGGCAGUGCAAGUCCGGAGUGAAAGCCCGGGGCUCAACCCUGGGACUGCUCUGGAAACUGUAAAGCCGGAGUGCGGGAGGGGCAGGCGGAAUUCCUGGUGUAGCGGUGAAAUGCGUAGAUAUCAGGAGGAACACCGGCGGCGAAGGCGGCCUGCUGGACCGUAACUGACGUUGAGGCUCGAAAGCGUGGGGAGCAAACAGGAUUAGAUACCCUAGUAC
rnacentral:rRNA from 1 species